rnacentral:lncRNA from 1 species
CCAGCGGCUGCUUUUAUUCUUAGGAGAAAAUUGCUGGGGACUUCGGUGAACGAUGGCUUUCACAAGCAUUUGGAGUAAGUGAAAGAGCCUGAAACUGCUGCUGCUUAUAAAUCCAUGAGUAUGUGAGGCUGUAUGAAGCUCACUGCUGUAACCAGCCAGAAACUUCCAUUGGUAUUUUAACUAUUAACAAACAUGUCUCCCCCCCCCACCCCCAGCACAGAACAUGAUGGUAGUUCUUGAGUGAAUUGCUUGAGUAACACUUGUCUCUUUGCCUUUUCCUAGAGGGAUGACCUGUCUCGCCUUGGAAGCAAGAGAAUGUCUCAGUCUCUGAUGCUUUUGCCAAUUUUCCCUUUAACUUGUGGUUUUCCCGAGAAGUGUUAGCAGCCUUUUAACUGGUGACAGUGAGUCCUGAGGUGUUUUUGGUGAGUUACUGUUUCGAUAAUGUCUUUUUUCCUUAACCUAGUGUCCUGGGUUCAGCUGGGAUAGAGUUAAUUUUUACAGGAACCUGGGAGGUGGGGGGGGCAUAGCCGGGGCAGCUGACCUGAACUAGCCAAGGAGCUAUUCCAUACCAUGUG